rnacentral:rRNA from 1 species
AACGGGUGAUUAACACGUGGGUGAUCACCCCUGGUCUCUGGGAUAAGCCUGGGAAACUGGGUCUAUAUCCGGUAACGUCCUAGCCGGGCAUGGCUGGGGGUGGAAAGUUUUUCGGUGCAGGAUGAGCCCGCGGCCUAUCAGCUUGUUGGUGGGGUUUAGGCCUACCAAGGCGACGACGGGUAGCCGGCCUGAGAGGGCGACCGGCCACACUGGGACUGAGACACGGCCCAUACUCCUACGGGAGGCAGCAGUGGCCAUAUUAGCAGAAUGGGCGCAAGCCUGAUGCAGCGACGGGGUGAGGGAUGACGGCCUUCGGGUUGUAAACCUCUUUCACCCAUGACGAAGCGCAAGUGACGGUAGUGGGAGAAGAAGCACCGGCCAACUACGUGCCAGCAGCCGCGGUAAUACGUAGGGUGCGAGCGUCGUCCGGAAUUACUGGGCGUAAAGAGCUCGUAGGCGGUUUGUCGCGUCGUCUGUGAAAACCCGCAGCUCAACUGCGGGCUACGUGCCGAUUCGGGCAGACUGGAGAACUGCAGGGGAGACUGGAUAU